rnacentral:tRNA from 1 species
GCUGGCGUAGCUCAGCCGGAAGAGCACCUGCCUUGUAAGCAGGAGGUCGCGGGUUCGAUUCCCGCCGCCAGCU